CUUAAAUCAAGCAAGCUUUCCCUGUUUUUCGUUUUAACUGUUCUCCAAUUUUAUAGAUAGCCAAUCCAAAAAAAUCACUUGUGGUCAUUCGUGGGCACUCGUGGUCACUCGUGGUCAUCCGUGGUCACUCGUGGUCAUUCGUGGUCACUCGUGGUCACUCGUGGUCACUCGUGGUCACUCGUAUGUACUUUUAGACAAGAUCCAACAAUCUGCCCAGAGAGUCUACAAUUCAUUGGUCGAGAAUUAUAUUCGCAUUUUUUGUAAGGUUCUCUCAACAUACUUUUAAAGUCUUAAAGCUAAAAUUCUCAGCAGAAAUCAAUCGUUUUGUAAAGACAAAUCAGGAAUAUUUCACACCUAUGACAUAUUUCAUGUCAUAUCUGUUUCAUAAUAUGCCCGUUCGCAGGUUAGAUGGCGGGCGUUUUGCCCAAACAAGGUCGCAAGGUUAUGUGGGAUUUGUUUAACCGCCACGCAUUAUUUUCAAAUUUUGAGCGCGUCUUUGUAUGUAGUUUGUCAUCCGUUGAUUCAACGUUUUAUAACUGAUACUGGUAGAAUUUAGUGCGUUUUUCUUUCGUAUUUUAACAUGAAAUACGCAUUCUUUGAAUUUGUCAAAGAGGAAUCAUAGGAGGGUGGUGAAACGCGCUGUAUUAUGCGAGAAGAAUCAGAAGAUAUGGAUAAUUUUGUGAAUGCCUGAAAGGUGACUAGGAUCGUGAGAAAGAAAGGCCAUGGCAAUGAGAAAUUUCUAAAGUUAAGAAAAUAAUCAAAAGUUCAUUGACCCAUCUACAACAACAUGUGUAGCUAAAGUAUUGGAAUUCAGUGUGCCGUGGAUGCAAGAACAACCUUGCUCUUAUUUCAUCACUGGAAAGGCUUCAAAUACCUAGCUUAAUUCAAAGAAAAGGAUGCAAAACCAGAGCCAGAGAAAGUUAAGACUGUGUCUAAAGUAUGGUGCAAAAAGGUUUGAGGGAAAAGAGGCUUACAUGUCACAUAUGACAAGUUAUGGCACCAAAGAUUAAUAAUAUUGUGCAAGUUGAGAAAACCAAGUUGAAAGCAUCUGGACAUCAGUAACUAUAUGACAUUCCAUUUUCUCAGUGGCGUAGCCAG